rnacentral:rRNA from 1 species
UACGGGGGGGGCAAGCGUUGUUCGGAAUUACUGGGCGUAAAGGGUUCGUAGGUGGCCAACUAAGUCAGACGUGAAAUCCCUCAGCUCAACUGGGGAACUGCGUCUGAUACUGAUUGGCUUGAGUGCAGGAGAGGAACGCGGAAUUCCAGGUGUAGCGGUGAAAUGCGUAGAUAUCAGGAGGAACACCAGUGGCGAAGGCGGUGCUCUGGGCCGGAACUGACGCUGAGGAGCGAAAGCGUGGGGAGCAAACAGG